rnacentral:rRNA from 1 species
GCGAACGCUGGCGGCGCUGCUUAACACAUGCAAGUCGAACGGAGAAGUGUGUAGCAAUACAAACCGGAGUAAAGUGCGUACGGGUGAGUAACACGUGGGUAAUCCUGCCCUCAAUGGUGGGGAUACCCCUGGGAAAGCCGGAGCUAAUACCGCAUGAUAUCGGGCUCGGCAGGUGACUCAAAGGUCGCAAGAUCGCUGGAGGAGGAGGCCCGCGCCCGAUUAGCUUGUUGGCGAGGGUAACGGCCUCACCAAGGCUAGAUCAGGUAGCCGGUCCUGAGAGGAUGGCCACGGCCACACUGGCACUGAGACACGGUCCAGACUCCUACGGGAGGCAGCAGUGGGGAAUCUUGCAGCAAUGGGGAAAGCCUGAUGCAGCGACGCCGCGUGAGGCGAUGAAGCCUCUUCGGAGUGUAAAGCCCUUUCGACAGGGAACUCCGCAAGGAAUGACGGUACCGGUAAUAAGAAGCCCGGCUAACUACGUGCCAGCAGCCUGCGGUAAGACGUAGGGCAGCGAGCGUUGUUCGGAAUUACUGGGCGUAAAGGCGUUCGUAGGCGGUGUGGCCAAGUCUGGAAGUGAAAGUCUCUCGGCUCAACUAGGAGGCUGCUCCGGAAACUGGCCUGCUAGGAGUAGGGGAGAGGCGAGCUGGAAUUCCAGGUGUAGCGGUGAAAUGCGUAGAUAUCUGUAGGAACACCCGUGUGCGAAGGCGGCUCGCUGGACCAGCAACUGACGCUGAGGCACGAAAGCUAGGGGUAGCAAACAGGAUUAGAUACCCUGGUAGUCCUACGCCCUAAACGAUCAGACUUGGUGUGGCAUUCCAGUCUGGGUGCGUGCCGUAGCUAACGCGAUUAAGUAUGCCGCCUGGGGAGUACGGUCGCAAGGCUGAAACUCAAAGGAAUUGACGGGGGCCCGCACAAGCGGUGGAACAUGUGGUUCAAUUCGACGCAACGCGAAGAACCUUACCUGGGCUUCGAACCGCUUACUGACCAGUCCGGUGGAAACAUGGCUUUCCCGCAAGGGACAGGAGUCGAGGUGCUGCAUGGCUGUCGUCAGCUCGUGUCGUGAGGUGUUGGGUUAAGUCCCGCAACGAGCGCAACCCCUUACUCUUAGUUGCUACCCGCAACGGGAGCACUCUCAGAGGACUGCUCCAGCGAUAACGGAGAGGAAGGUGGGAGAUGACGUCAAGUCAGCAUGGCCUUUAUGUCCAGGGCUACACACGUGCUACAAUGCAUGGUACAGACCGCAGCGAACCCGCGAGGGGGAGCUAAUCGGAAAAAAACCAUGCUCAGUUCGGAUUGCAGUCUGCAACUCGCCUGCAUGUAGCUGGAAUCGCUAGUAAUGGUAUAUCAGAACGAUACGGCGUGAAUACGUUCCCGGGCCUUGUACACACCGCCCGUCACAUCACGAAAGUGGGUUGUACUAGAAGUCUGCUAAGCCAACCGCAAGGAGGCAGGCGCCCAAGGUAUGACUCAUGAUUGGGGUG